GGGGAUGUGGCUCAGUGGUAGAGCUCUUGCCUAGCAUGCAUGAGGCCCUGGAUUCGAUCCCCAGCACCA
rnacentral:tRNA from 1 species